UGGGUUGGUGUUUUGCAUAGAGACAUUGUGUGGCUAAACUGCAGCUGCUAUAAAAGUGCCAGUGUCCCUGUGCCAUAUUAAUGAUCUGUAUGUGUCACAGUGCAUAGAUAGAGACAUGUCUUAUCCCACUUAUCUACUGCUGCUGCUGGGGAUCCUCCUGAUCUUUAGCCAAGGUUCCUAUGGGCAGAUUGUACUGACUCAGUCUCCAGAUUAUGUCUCUGUGUCACCAGGAGAAACUGUCACCAUCACAUGUAAAGCCAGUAGCAGUGUUGGCAAUGUGUUAGCCUGGUACCAACAGAAAUCAGGGCAGGCACCAAAGCUGCUGAUCUAUUUGGCAAGUACCCGACACACAGGGACCCCAGAGAGGUUCAGCGGCAGUGGAUAUGGAACUGAUUUCACUCUUACAAUCAGCAGAAUGGAAGCAGAAGAUGCAGCAGAUUAUUACUGUCAGCAGAGUAACAGUGGGUUACACAGUGAUACAGAGCUGAACAAAAACCUUCCUCUUUCAGCUUGAAUGCAGAUCAGACUAAAACAUGACUCAGGACUCACUGUACCAGAAGAUUGUUGACUUCAUACUCUGUACUUUAUAUAACCCAUACACACUAAGAUGCAACUGAAUUAUCAGGAAUACUUUACAUAGCAUGUGUGUAUUUCAAUUCAUAAAAAAGAAAACUAAAAGGGGGGGGAGAAAAAAAGAAAACAAGGUGCAUGAAAAAUCCAGUAUUAAAGGUGCAGUAUUCCCCUUAUUGAACAUAAGUUAAAUGAAUAGGGAUUGUGCUGUAUAUAGAAUACUAUUUACAUAUUAGUUUAAAUUAUGAAAUAUAGUUUUCUUUUUGUUAUUUUAUAACUAAACAAAUUUGCGAUUAAAGUGAAAGUCACAUUCUAAUUUCUUUUCAUCUGAGGCUAACAUCAAACAAAUCAGACUUUCACUGAGAAGCGUCUGUAUGAACAAACCCCUCCCUUCCCAGCUACAGAUCGUUAGGCUGUAAGAUAAGGAGUAGCUCUUUAUACAGAGGGGUGACAGGGUGAGGCAUAUGAACCCUCUGGCCCCCUAAUUUCCACAUCAUUCAGAUUUGCAAGAUAGUAUCAGCAGGUACAAACAUACACACCAGCGUUUAUUUCUAUUGGCAGCCACGAUGAGUAGGAGAAGCUGCGAGCAGGAAAAAUGUCAGGCAAUAAUGAUGAGAUACGAGAAACAAAUGAUAAAAAAGCAGAAUUUUUUUAAUGUCAAUACAGCAAAUUUACUCUAAACACACAGGAUUUUUUAUUUUUGACUCAAUAACCCUUUAAUAUUUGUGCAAUAGUAUAUGGAGAGCGGGUGUAUGUUAUAUUGUUUACCUUGACUCUUUUCUCUUAAAGGGGUGGUUCACCUUUAAGGUAACCCUUAUUAUGUUUAAUGUCUAA